rnacentral:rRNA from 1 species
GACGAACGCUGGCGGCGUGCCUAAUACAUGCAAGUUGAGCGCUGAAGGUUGGUACUUGUACCAACUGGAUGAGCAGCGAACGGGUGAGUAACGCGUGGGGAAUCUGCCUAUGAGCGGGGGACAACAUUUGGAAACGAAUGCUAAUACCGCAUAAAAACUUUAAACACAAGUUUUAAGUUUGAAAGAUGCAAUUGCAUCACUCAAAGAUGAUCCCGCGUUGUAUUAGCUAGUUGGUGAGGUAAAGGCUCACCAAGGCGAUGAUACAUAGCCGACCUGAGAGGGUGAUCGGCCACAUUGGGACUGAGACACGGCCCAAACUCCUACGGGAGGCAGCAGUAGGGAAUCUUCGGCAAUGGACGAAAGUCUGACCGAGCAACGCCGCGUGAGUGAAGAAGGUUUUCGGAUCGUAAAACUCUGUCGGUAGAGAAGAACGUUGGUGAGAGUGGAAAGCUCAUCAAGUGACGGUAACUACCCAGAAAGGGACGGCUAACUACGUG